rnacentral:lncRNA from 1 species
GUUGGGAACCCGCCCAUGCCGCUGAUAUUUCAAAACAAAAAUCAGAUGGCAGCGGAAAGGGGGCAUGUGCGGGAUCAACGUUCAUCGCAUGAACGUUGUUUCGAGACCUUUCGUAAUUAGGUAAGAAUUAAAACUUUUAAAACCAUUAGGAAGAUCAGAUCUUCACCUUGCGCGGGUAGAUGAUCACCGCAAAUCUGAAUUCGUGGUUUUCGAAAGAGGGUUCGCUUGAAGCCGUUCAAACGUCCGGCCUCUACGGGUAUCCACACGAAGUAGAGGACCGAUCAAAUC